GGUAAGGUAACUUAAUGGUAAAGCACCCAACCGGCAAUUAGGGGAUCUGGGUUCAAGUCUCGGCCUCCA
rnacentral:tRNA from 1 species